GCUCGAGUGGCGAACGGGUGAGUAACACGUGAGUAACCUGCCCUUGACUUUGGGAUAACUUCAGGAAACUGGGGCUAAUACCGUAUAGGAGCUCCUGCUGCAUGGUGGGGGUUGGAAAGUUUCGGCGGUUGGGGAUGGACUCGCGGCUUAUCAGCUUGUUGGUGGGGUAGUGGCUUACCAAGGCUUUGACGGGUAGCCGGCCUGAGAGGGUGACCGGCCACAUUGGGACUGAGAUACGGCCCAG
rnacentral:rRNA from 1 species